rnacentral:rRNA from 1 species
CUCAGGAUGAANGCUGAGCGGCGUGCUUAACACAUGCAAGUCGAACGGAGAUAUCAUUUUCGAAGCGAUUAGUUUACUAAGAGUGGAGAUGUUGGUAUCUUAGUGGCGGACGGGUGAGUAACGCGUGGGUAACCUGCCUUACACUGGGGGAUAACACUUAGAAAUAGGUGCUAAUACCGCAUAACAGGGAAAGAUGCAUGUCUUUUCCUUGAAAACUCCGGUGGUGCAAGAUGGACCCGCGUCUGAUUAGCUGGUUGGCGGGGUAACGGCCCACCAAGGCGACGAUCAGUAGCCGGCCUGAGGGGGUGAACGGCCACAUUGGGACUGAGACACGGCCCAAACUCCUACGGGAGGCAGCAGUGGGGAAUAUUGGACAAUGGGGGGAACCCUGAUCCAGCGACGCCGCGUGAGUGAAGAAGUAUUUCGGUAUGUAAAGCUCUAUCAGCAGGGAAGAAAGAAAUGACGGUACCUGACUAAGAAGCCCCGGCUAACUACGUGCCAGCAGCCGCGGUAAUACGUAGGGGGCAAGCGUUGUCCGGAUUUACUGGGUGUAAAGGGAGCGUAGACGGCGAUGCAAGUCUGAAGUGAAAGGCGGGG